ensembl:snRNA U6 U6 spliceosomal RNA
UCACUUCUGUAGCGUAUAUACUAAAAUUGGAAUGAUACAGAGAAUAUUAGCAUGUCAUUUGCAUAAGAAUGACAUGUAAAUUUGCAAAAUAUUCCAUAUUUUU